rnacentral:rRNA from 1 species
GACGAACGCUGGCGGCGUGCUUAACACAUGCAAGUCGAACGAAGAGCGAUGGAAGCUUGCUUCUAUCAAUCUUAGUGGCGAACGGGUGAGUAACGCGUAAUCAACCUGCCCUUCAGAGGGGGACAACAGUUGGAAACGACUGCUAAUACCGCAUACGAUCUAAUCUCGGCAUCGAGGAUAGAUGAAAGGUGGCCUCUACAUGUAAGCUAUCACUGAAGGAGGGGAUUGCGUCUGAUUAGCUAGUUGGAGGGGUAACGGCCCACCAAGGCGAUGAUCAGUAGCCGGUCUGAGAGGAUGAACGGCCACAUUGGGACUGAGACACGGCCCAGACUCCUACGGGAGGCAGCAGUGGGGAAUCUUCCGCAAUGGACGAAAGUCUGACGGAGCAACGCCGCGUGGGUGAUGACGGCCUUCGGGUUGUAAAGCUCUGUUAAUCGGGACGAAAGGCCUUCUUGCGAACAGUUAGAAGGAUUGACGGUACCGGAAUAGAAAGCCACGGCUAACUACGUG